rnacentral:rRNA from 1 species
GGUGACCUCCUGUGAAGUCCUCGUGUUGCACCCCUU